AGUGCCUGGGCUGGUAAGGGUGAUUGUCCGCGGCCGUGAGGUGGUUUGUCAGCAUAGUCCCCGGGACUCCUGGGAGGUCUCAACAGGAGAUCCUCAGCCCAUUUUACAGAUGGGGGCAGCUGAGGACCCGAGGAAAGAAGUUCUAUUACCUCAAAAUGGCUCAGCUCACUAGGAGCAGAGACUGGAUUUAGGUCAUGGGAAAAGUGUCCAAAUGACCAGGAAGAGGCAGGAAUGGGGCCCAAGGAAAUGGAUCAUGACACCCCCGCUAAAGACAAAGUUCAACUCUGCUGCUGUCUGGCUCCAGCACUCCAAUAAGCAAAGAGUCAGGACCUGCUAAGCUGGCUGGAACAGGACUUCAUGGUGUAACUCAUGAGAGACGACUCAAUGCCAAAGACUGAGGUUACAGCAGGGUGUUUACAGCAGUGGCCAUACUCCAGAGUCCUUGACAACAGGUCUUGAGUCCCAAAGCUCUGAUGGAGAAGCAAAACUCCUUGAUGUGUUACUGACCCCACCGAUUCCAGGGGUCAGGAUUAGCCAGGGAGCCAAACAUCGAGAGUGGGUGUGGCAUGUCACCAGUCCAGAGGCCCUGCCAUGGAUAUAGGCUGGGACCCAGCAUUAGGCAAUCAACAGCCAGAACAUGAUCACCAGGGCCACAAACAGGAAGAGGCGUGAUAGGAACUGCUCAUCCACAUACUGGGGUGUUCCAGGGACAGCUGGAGAGAAAGGAGGGAGAAGAGAGGCUGUCAGAACACUGCAGCUGUGUGCACUGCCUGUCUGAGCCAGAAUUGAGAACAUCAAUCUUCAUCUCUUUAGAACAGAACUCUGCACACUAAAAAGAUUUCCAAACCCCAAAUAACAUCAGGCAAAACAAAACUUGAAUUAUGAAGAUAUGUGGAAUAAUAUAACAAUGAGGACAAGGUCUCCAAUUUAUCCUAAGAGAGUCUGGUCUGCAGAUGUACAUAAAACAGGAAGCUCUUGGAGGAAAUAAUAAAAGAAAAGCUGCUGUUAA